GGGCGUGUGGUGUAGUGGUAACACAUGGGUCUCCAAAACCUAUGACGGGGGUUCGAUUCCCUCCACGCCUG
rnacentral:tRNA from 1 species